rnacentral:rRNA from 1 species
UGGCCUCAAAUCGGGUGAGACUACCCGCUGAACUUAAUAUAUCAAUAAGCGGAGGAAAAGAAACUAACAAGAUUCCCCUAGUAACUGCGAGUGAAGCGGGAAAACUCAAAUUUAAAAUCUCAGCCACUCUUUGCCGUCCGAGUUGUCAAUUAGAGAAGCGUCUUCCGCGUCGGAGCCGUGCACAAGUCUCCUGGAAUGGAGCGUCAUAGAGGGUGAGAAUCC